GUCAUUUGUCAAGGCCCAUAACAGCCUUCCAUACUUGACAGUUACCAACAGUUUCAUAUCGGACCUUAAAGGAUUUUGCUACUCAUGAAUUGAAACCUGGAGCAACGAUAAUAGUAACAUAACAAAGAAUUUUUGAAGAGUACAUACCCACAACGCAAUAUCUCCAAUCUAUGGCACUGGAACAGAAGGUGUGAAACAGCAUCUGCAGUUAUUUUGUCACAUUGACUGCACAAAUGAAAAAGAAAAAACU
rnacentral:lncRNA from 1 species